ACGGGUGAGUAACGCGUGGGUAAUCUACCCCGGUCUGGGGGAUAACGCACCGAAAGGUGCGCUAAUACCGCAUGACCCGGCGGGUUUUCGGACCUGUCGGAAAAGGUGGCCUCUUCACGAAAGCUACCGAACUGGGAUGAGCCCGCGUCCUAUUAGCUUGUUGGUGGGGUAAAGGCCUACCAAGGCGACGAUGGGUAGCUGGUCUGAGAGGACGGCCAGCCACACUGGAACUGGUACACGGUCCAGACUCCUACGGGAGGCAGCAGUGAGGAAUAUUGCGCAAUGGGGGAAACCCUGACGCAGCGAUGCCGCGUGAGUGAAGAAGGCCUUCGGGUCGUAAAGCUCUGUCAAACGGGAAGAACAGUCCGGGGACGAAUAAUCUCCGGGCCUGACGGUACCGUUGAAGGAAGCACCGGCUAACUCCGUGCCAGCAGCCGCGGUAAGACGGAGGGUGCGAGCGUUAUUCGGAUUUAUUGGGCGUAAAGAGUGUGUAGGCGGUCGAUCAAGUCUGAUAUGAAAGCCCGGGGCUUAACCUCGGAAGGGCGUUGGAAACUGGUCGACUUGAGUUCGGGAGAGGAAAGCGGA
rnacentral:rRNA from 1 species